rnacentral:rRNA from 1 species
CCCUUAGAUGUUCUGGGCCGCACGCGCGCUACACUGAUGCAUUCAACGAGUCUAAAACCUGGUCUGAUAGGGCUGGGUAAUCUUUUGAAAGUGCAUCGUGAUUGGGAUAGAUGAUUGCAAUUCUUCAUCUUCAACGAGGAAUGCCUAGUAAACGCAAGUCAUCAGCUUGCAUUGAUUACGUCCCUGCCCCUUGUACACACCGCCCGUCGCUCCUACCGAUUGAAUGAUCCGAUGAAUACCAUGGAUUGAGAGUACGAAUGGGUUCGCUCAUUUCUGCUGCUCGAGAAGUGGAGUAAAUCUUAUCAUUUAGAGGAAGGAGAAGUCGUAACA